rnacentral:lncRNA from 1 species
UUGAAUUGCUGUUUUUUUUUUUUCUUUUUCUGAGUUUACAAAGGUAACAGCUGUGCUGCCAUGGGACCCAAGAAGACUGCUGCUGCUGCGGAGCCCGGCGAGAGGAAGAAGGAGAAGGUGACGCUGGAGAUGAAGAAGGAGAUCAUCCGGAAGCACGAAGGUGGAAUGCGUGUGACGGACCUCGCCAAGAAGUACGGCAGGAACCCAUCGACCAUCGGGACCAUCCUGAAGAUGAGGGAGAAGAUCCUUGCGACUGAUGCAGCCAAGGGAGUCACCAGGAUCGUGAAGAACCGCCCAGCUGUUCUGGAGGAGGUCGAGAAGUUGCUGCUCAUCUGGUUAGAAGAGAAGCAGCGUGCAGGGGACACAGUGACUGAGGCC